UACGUAGGGUCCGGAGCGUUGUCCGGAAUUAUUGGGCGUAAAGAGCUCGUAGGCGGUCUGUCGCGUCGGUUGUGAAAACCUGGGGCUCAACUCCCAGGCCUGCAAUCGAUACGGGCAGACUAGAGUUCGGUGAGGGGAGGACUGGAAUUCCUGGUGUAGCGGUGAAAUGCGCAGAUAUCAGGAGGAACACCGGUGGCGAAGGCGGGUCUCUGGGCCGAAACGACGCUGAGGAGCGAAAGCGUGGGGAGCGAACAGG
rnacentral:rRNA from 1 species